UACGGAGGGUGCAAGCGUUGUCCGGAAUCACUGGGCGUAAAGGGCGCGUAGGCGGCUCGGUAAGUAGGGGGUGAAAUCCUGCGGCUUAACCGCAGGGCUGCCUUCUAAACUGUCGAGCUUGAGCACGGUAGAGGCAGAUGGAAUUCCCGGUGUAGCGGUGGAAUGCGUAGAGAUCGGGAAGAACAUCAGUGGCGAAGGCGGUCUGCUGGGCCGUUGCUGACGCUGAGGCACGAAAGCGUGGGGAGCAAACAGG
rnacentral:rRNA from 1 species